GUGAUGGAAACACUCAUCCUGGAGGUCAUCUCCAAGAAUAUGGAGAAGAAGAAGGUGAUCGGGAGUAGUCAGAAUGGGAUCACCAAGGGGAAAUCAUGCUUGAUCGACCUGACAGCCUUCUGUGAUGGAAUGACUAGCUGGGUGGAUGAGGGGAGAGCAAUGGAUUCCGUCUACUUUGACUUCAGCAAGGCUUUCAACACUCUCCAAUAACAUACUC